rnacentral:rRNA from 1 species
CUACCCGGGUUUCUAAUCCUGUUUGCUCCCCAUGCUUUCGCACCUCAGCGUCAGUGUUAGGCCAGAUGGCUGCCUUCGCCAUCGGUAUUCCUCCAGAUCUCUACGCAUUUCACCGCUACACCUGGAAUUCUACCAUCCUCUCCCACACUCUAGCUAACCAGUAUCGAAUGCAAUUCCCAAGUUAAGCUCGGGGAUUUCACAUUUGACUUAAUUAGCCGCCUACGCGCGCUUUACGCCCAGUAAAUCCGAUUAACGCUUGCACCCUCUGUAUUACCGCGGCUGCUGGCAC